CCUACGGGAGGCAGCAGUGAGGAAUAUUGGUCAAUGGACGAGAGUCUGAACCAGCCAAGUAGCGUGAAGGAUGACUGCCCUAUGGGUUGUAAACUUCUUUUAUAUGGGAAUAAAAUGUUCCACGUGUGGGAUUUUGUAUGUACCAUAUGAAAAAGGAUCGGCUAACUCCGUGCCAGCAGCCGCGGUAAUACGGAGGAUCCGAGCGUUAUCCGGAUUUAUUGGGUUUAAAGGGAGCGUAGGUGGAUUGUUAAGUCAGUUGUGAAAGUUUGCGGCUCAACCGUAAAAUUGCAGUUGAAACUGGCAGUCUAGAGUACAGUAGAGGUGGGCGGAAUUCGUGGUGUAGCGGUGAAAUGCUUAGAUAUCACGAAGAACUCCGAUUGCGAAGGCAGCUCACUGGCCUGCAACUGACACUGAGGCUCGAAAGUGUGGGUAUCAAACAGGAUUAGAUACCCCUGUAGUC
rnacentral:rRNA from 1 species